UCCCGCCUGCCCAGUGACUCUUUAAACGGCCGCGGUAUCCUAACCGUGCAAAGGUAGCAUAAUCACUUGUCCCCUAAAUAGGGACUAGAAUGAACGGCUAAAUGAGGACAAAACUGUCUCUUGCGGAUUGACCAAUGAAAUUGAUCUUCCAGUACAAAAGCUGGAAUAAACUCAUAAGACGAGAAGACCCUGUGGAGCUUUAAAACCAAAAUCACCAAACAUGCUACUUGGUUUUUUAGUUGGGGCGACUUUGGAGCAAAAAAAAUCCUCCAAAACAUAUGACUCAUUUAUUAAGAAUAACACACCAAAAAAUAAUUAAAAUAGACCCAGCAACAUUUUAUGUUGUCUGACCAAUGAACCAAGUUACCCCAGGGAUAACAGCGCCAUCCUCUUCUAGAGUCCUUAUCGACAAGAGGGUUUACGACCUCGAUGUUGGAUCAGGACACCCCUAUAGUGCA
rnacentral:rRNA from 1 species